UACGUAGGGUGCGAGCGUUGUCCGGAAUCAUUGGGCGUAAAGGGCUCGUAGGCGGUCCAUCACGUCGGGAGUGAAACGCUGGGGCUUAACCCCAGUCCUGCUUUCGAUACGGGUGGACUAGAGGUAGGCAGGGGAGAAUGGAAUUCCUGGUGUAGCGGUGAAAUGCGCAGAUAUCAGGAGGAACACCGGUGGCGAAGGCGGUUCUCUGGGCCUUACCUGACGCUGAGGAGCGAAAGCGUGGGGAGCAAACAGG
rnacentral:rRNA from 1 species